rnacentral:rRNA from 1 species
GACGAACGCUGGCGGCGUGCUUAACACAUGCAAGUGGUGCGACGAACCAGGCUUCGGCCUGGGGCAAAGCCGCGAACGGGUGAGUAACACGUGAGUAAUCUGCCCCGAUGACCGGGACAACCCGAGGAAACUCGGGCUAAUACCGGAUGAUGAGCCUCGGCGUAAGCCUUGUCUCUAAAGGAAGCUUCGGCCUCCGCAUUGGGAGGAGCUCGCGGCCCAUUAGCUUGUUGGUGGGGUAACGGCCUACCAAGGCAACGAUGGGUAGCUGGUCUGAGAG